UUUUGGUCUUCUAAACCCUUGCCUUCCAUCUUAGAAUCAAUACUGUGUAUUGGUUCCAAGGCAGAAGAGUGGUAAGGGCUAGGCAAUGGGAAUUAAGUGACUUGCACAAGGUCACAUAGCUGGGAAGUGUCUGAAGUCAAAUUUGCACCCAGGAUCUCCCAUCUCUAGGCCUGGCUCUCAAUCCACAGAUCCACCUAACUGCCCCCAAGGGCAGCUUUUAAACAGAUUUUGCCAACAAUGGAGAUAGCACCAAAGUUAAGGAGUUUGAGGAGAAGAAAUACAGUAAAAGCAAGAAGGCUGAAUCAGGAAGACCUAGCCAUGAAUCCCAGCUCAGGCAAUACCUAGGCAACUCUGGGAAAUCAUUUAACUUUUCUCAGCUUCAGUUUCCUCUUCUUGUGAAACAAGGGGGUUGGACUUAUUGAUCUCUGUGGUUCAUUCUAGCUCUAAGUCAAUGAUCUGAUAGUUCCUUCUAUGAUAUGGGACUAAGAAAAUAGAUAUAGAAAGGUUUCCUUUCCCUUCACUGUCUUAGCCUGUGAUUAAGUAAUGGAGUAAGACAAGAAGUCAAAGGUAAAUCAAGUCACUGCAUGUUGAGCCUGAACAUGGGGCUUGUCAUGUUCUAACUUUUCCUUUCUCGUUUUUCUCCCUUCUCUCCUUCCGUUGCCUACUUUCUCUUUUCUCUCUUCCUUCUCUUCAGUUGGAAUCAAUAUCUCUCAGUACCUGUCAUGCAGGAGGCUCUGUGCUACAUGGUUGGUUUUGCCCAAACUAUGGCCCUAAGACUUAAUCUGGCUCACCAAAUGUUUUUGUAUGGCCUGUAAGGCUUGCAUUGACUUUUCUACCAUCCUGGCUUUCCAACCAGCUUGACAGGAUGUUUUAUAUAUGAGGAAAUUUGAAGCCCAGAAGAUUAUCUCACUUGCCAAGGUCACAUGGUUAUAAGGAACUAAGACUUUCUCUACUUCCACAGAAUCUUCUUCAUCCUGAAAGUUCUUCUUGGACUUCACCCAAUGGAUAUACCCUCUACUCCUACAGCCUCACCUUCUUAUUGGCUGGCUUCUCUAGGAAUCUCCAUUUUAAGGAAGAUGUCGAGGCCAACCAUGUCUUCCUGGUCUCCAGGAUAUAUGCCUGCCUCUCCCAACGUUCUUUACCAUGCCGCCACAUAGAUACUCCUAGCCUCCCUUUCCUUGUCCCCUGCUUCAGCUUCCUUUGCUGUGCCAUCUUCCCCCAGUAGAAUGUCAAGUCCUUGAGGUUUUGAGCUGUCUUACUUUUUGCUUGUAUUUCUAUUUCUAACACUUUGCCUGAUGCCUAGCCCACGGUAAACAUGUUGUCUUGACUUAUUCAGUUGAUUUUAUAAGCCCAAUAUGAGUUAAAAAUUGUGAUGUGGUAGGAGAGAAAUCAAAUGUCUUUGCCUGAGGAGAAAGCAUAGCUUCUAAGAAUAAGAAAGAAAUAGUCUCACUGUUCUUUGCCCUUAUUAUAUCUGGACUAUCAUGUUCGGUUCUUACAGCCGUAUUGUAAGAAGGAUAUUGAUAAACCAGAGAGCUUGCAGAGUAUACUUAGAUUAAAAUGGCAAAGGCUUCUGAAAGCAUACUAUGUCAACUGAAGGAAGGGAGAAUAUUUAGCCUAGAGAGCGAAAGAUUUAAGGAAGGCUGUGUCAGAAAAUCCAAAUAGCUGACGUGUGGGAAAGGGAUUGGAUGUAUUCACUUUGGAUUGAAGUUGUACAAGGGAAAAUUGAUGCUUGUUGUGAGUAAUGAUUUCAUUGCUAACAGAUAUACAAGACGUAGACUACUAGCUCUACGCUACCCUUCUCAUCCUUGUAAGUGAAGCUCUAGGGAAAUUUGCAUGGGCACACUGAGAGCAUCCAUGGGCAUGAUGGGAGUUAAAAGGAUAGUCAAGCCAACAAGCCGAUGGUCCUGAAGGCACUGCUUCUAGGAGGAGAGAAAGCAGAUCAAAAGAUGGGCUGAUUUAAAGAACAUUUUUGGUUGUGGGGUGC
ensembl:lncRNA